UGAAAAACAGGUUAAUCUUCUGUGUUCUUGGGAAAUAGCUGUUAAAGAAGUUGCUGGGAUUUUCAUGUACCAUUUUAUGAUGCUGGUGAGAGUUUUUACAUGAUUUAUACACCAUGAAAGGAAAAAAACACCCAUGAAAAACCGGUUAAUCUCUCCUGUCGCCUUGGGUAAUAGCUGUUAAAGAAGUUGCUGGGAUUUUCAUGGACUGUUUUAUGAUGCUGGUGAGAGUUUUAAACACUUCUGCACCACGAAAGGGAAAAACCACCCAUGAAAAACAGGUUAAUCUUCUGUGUUCUUGGGAAAUAGCUCUUAAAGAAGUUGCUGGGAUUUUCAUGGACUGUUUUAUGAUGCUGGUGGUAGUUUUUACAUGUCUUACACACCAUGAAAGGAAAAAACACCCAUGAAAAACCGGUUAAUCUUCUUGUGGACUUGGAAAAUAGUCUAAUGGGAACCAGAAACGUUUAAUCAAGAAGUUGCUGGGAUUUUCAUGGACUGUCUUAUGAUGCUGGUGAUCAUUUUAAAUACUUCUCUGGACCACGAAAGGCAAAAAACCACCCAUCAAAACCCGGUUAAUCUUCUUGUGGACUUGGAAAAUAGUCUAAUGGGAACCAGAUUGGGAUUUUCAUGGACUUUUAUGAUGCUGGUGGUAGUUUUUACAUGUCUUACACACCAUGAAAGGAAAAAAACGCCCAUGAAAAUCUGGUUAAUCUCUCCUGUCGCCUUGGGAAAUAGCUGUUAAAGAAGUUGCUGGGAUUUUCAUGGAUUUUUAUGAUGCUGGUGAUGGUUUUUACAUGUCUUACACACCAUGAAAGGGAAAAACCACCCAUCAAAACCCAGUUAAUCUUCUUGUGGCCUUGGGAUAUGGGCGUAAUGGGAGCCCGAGACGUAUAAGAAUAUUGAGCACAGCAAGCCGCCUCACGUGCCCAGGUAUGAGGUCAGGUCAUUAGGAUGCUGCCCGCACACCUGUCUGGCUUUAUCUGUGUCCCUGGUUGUUAUUCCCCUCAUCUGUACUGUGUUUAUAUCUGUCUGUGUCUGUCUUUCUCUCUCUUCCUGCUUGCUUUUUGUUCCUUUUUCUCUCUCUCUCUCUCUCUCUCUCUCUCUCUCUCUCUCUCUCUCUCUCUCUCUCUCUCUCUCUCUCUCUCUCUCUCUCUCUCUCUCUCUCUCUCUCUCUCUCUCUCUCUCUCUUCUUGCUUGUUUUUUCUUUCUUUCCUUUUGUUCCUUUCUUCAUGUAUUUCUUUUAUUUAUUUAUUUUUAUUUUUCUAGUUUUUUUGUAUUUCUGCUUAUUUUUUUUCCUUCUUCCUUCCUUCCUUUCGUAAUCCAAAGUCGUUCUCUCUCUCUCUCUCUCUCUCUCUCUCUCUCUCUCUCUCUCUCUCUCUCUUUUUUUGUGUAUUUCUGCUUAUUCUUUUUCCUUCUUCCUUCCUUCCUUUCGUAAUCUAAAGUCGUUUCUCUCUCUCUCUCUCUCUCUCUCUCUCUCUCUCUCUCUCUCUCUCUCUCUCUCUCUCUCUCUCUCUUAUAAGCCCCAAAAAAGUAUAUUAUUUUCUUUUGAAGUGACUAAAUAUUGCUGAUAAUUGCAGAUAUAAUUAGUUUUUUUUAUUUCAUUCACUAUAUUUCUAAACUAAUUACUCUAUCAUCAUUAUUACCAUCAUUAUUAGUUGUAUGUUAAUGUAUACUGACCCGACAUACUGUAUUAUUCAGCCUACCUAUUUUAUAUAUAUCACCUAUUUCAGCAUCUAUUACGGCACUCACUUAACCCUAUUUUUUCAUUGCUACUUUGCCCAUUAACCCGGUAGCAGCGGGGAUCAUGUUUCUUAAUGGUCCCUCUAAGCGAGAAAAAUGAGAAAAAAUCACCCCUCACACAAACCAUUUCAUAAUAUAUAUCGAAGCAUUUGUGAUCAGUUUAUGUAUCAUCUAUUUUUGGGGGGUUUAAAUCGUGUCACAAAUUUGGCCCGUCGCUGCUACACGGUAAAGCCACAAAUUUGCCCCGUCGCUGCUACACGGCAAAGCCACAAAUUUGCCCUGUCGCUGCUACACGGUAAAGCCACAAAUUUGCCCCGUCGCUGCUACACGGUAAAGCCACAAAUUUGGCCCGUCGCUGCUACACGGUAAAGCCACAAAUUUGGCCCGUCGCUGCUACAUGGUAAAGCCACAAAUUUGGACCGUCGCUGCUACAUGGUAAAGCCACAAAUUUGGACCGUCGCUGCUACAUGGUAAAGCCACAAAUUUGGACCGUCGCUGCUACACGGUAAAGGCACAAAUUUGGACUGUCGCUGCUACCGGGUUAACAUUCUACUAUUACUAUUUCCUAUUUCCCCUAAAAAAAUAAAAAUUGUAACCCAUGCCUACAAGAAUCCUUUUUUUUCUUUUUUUUGUUGAUAGAUUCGUCAUCUGUUGUGUAUCAUUAUUUCCUUGUGCUAUAUUUUAAUAACAAUAAUUAAUGACAUAUAAAAAUAGAUAUAGAUUAAAUAAAUAGAUAAUAUAUAUAUGUAAAAUUAAUAAAGAUAACAUAUACUUGAUUUUUCCACGAGCAGUUUCUCUUCCCCUCCCCCCCGCUUUUUUUCUACAGCAGAGUCAGUUCAAGGGCAUAAAAGGAAAGGAAACAAAUGUGAAAAAAAAAGCCCGCUACUCAUUGCUCCUAAUCACUUAAAUCACACAGCAUUAGUCAGCAUCCCUAUAACACCAGUAAGCACCACACAGCAUCACUCGGCAUCCCUAUAACACAUUUUGGUCCGUUCCCCGUACUGCAAAAUGAAAAGGCGAGGUAGAAUUGGGGGCACACGCUACAGCUUAUUGCACUCCUCAUCUUGUUCAGUUCGCUUGAAAUUAUUAACCCCUUGACUGUGGAUUUUCCUACAUGAAGAAAGUUGGAAAGUUUUGUUUAGUCGGCGCAACAUCUGUGGUCAUAUGCCGGAGAGAGACAGAAGGAGAAGGAAUUAUAGCAGAAGGGAACAGAUACCAGGAGACGGGACACAACCCCCAAUUAAUACCUGGGUGGACAGGGGCGUAGGGUAUCGGAAAAGCCACCCAAAUUUUUCCACUCCACCCGGGAAUUGAACCAGGGCUCUCUCGGUUGUGAGCUGAGUGUGCUAACCACUGCACCAUGAAGCCCCACCCUACAUGAAGACAUCACCAAGUUACAGGAGUGGAACAAAAAGUGGCUGCUACAAUUACACAAAGCAAUUUCUCUUUCCCUUGACACAAAUUGGUCCGUUCCCCGUACUGAAAAGUUAAAAGGUAAGGUAAAGUCCGAGGCAUACGCUAUAGCUGCGCAUGGCCUCAGUGCCCAUCUCUGUCACAUUGUCCCUUGAGCCUAUGGUGGGACGCAGGGCCAGUGUGACAUUCAGGGUACCACAGUUUACCUUCCCCAGGUUUCCCCAGGUACCCAUUUAUCGACCCGACCGGGAUUUGAACCCAGGCCCGCCGACUCAUAAGCAGGCACGCUAACCACUACACCACAGAGGGUAAACUAAAGGAAAAAUAGAGAUGAUUGCAAUAUUAAACUAAACCAAAAGAAAAAUGUGACAAAAUAUUCUAAUCAUGACAAUAAUUUAAUCUAAAGCAUGUAAAGAAUUAACCCAUCUCCUGCGAUUGGCAUGGAUUUUGCCUUCACUGGUAGCCUGGUAACAUACACUCCCAGGUCCUUCUCUGCCUCUGUGGUGGAUAGUGGAGUGUUUCCCAUGUGGUAUUGGUGUGCUGGAUAUCCCUUCACUGGUAGCCUGGUAACAUACACUCCCAGGUCCUUCUCUGCCUCUGUGGUGGAUAGUGGAGUGUUUCCCAUGUGGUAUUGGUGUGCUGGAUAUCCCUUCACUGGUAGCCUGGUAACAUACACUCCCAGGUCCUUCUCUCCCUCUGUGGUGGAUAGUGGAGUGUUUCCCAUGUGGUAUUGGUGUGCUGGAUAUCCCUUCACUGGUAGCCUGGUAACAUACACUCCCAGGUCCUUCUCUGCCUCUGUGGUGGAUAGUGGAGUGUUUCCCAUGUGGUAUUGGUGUGCUGGAUAUCCCUUCACUGGUAGCCUGGUAACAUACACUCCCAGGUCUUUCUCUGCCUCUGUGGUGGAUAGUGGAGUGUUUUCCAUGUGGUAUUGAUGUGCUGGAUAUCCCUUCACUGGUAGCCUGGUAACAUACAC